rnacentral:lncRNA from 1 species
AGAGAAUUGACUAAAGGACAUGGGAAUGUUCUUCAUGAUAAAGACUUUGGAGGAAUCGGAUUACUGCUAUGAAGUAUUUGAAGCAGGCUUCAAAAAGAAUUAAUUUCCAAGCUCUUCUAAUGAGAUACUAGACUAGUUAACUAUGUUAAUUCCUCUCUCAGCUAAUUCCUACAACAAGAUAAUAUCCUCAGAGUUAGCCUUCAAAAGGCAGCAUAAUUUCCCUUCUUUGCAAGUUUUCCUUUAUUAUUGACUUUCUAGGAGAAAGGAAAAACGCUAAACCUGAUGACAGGGGAGAGGACUAUAGAAAUCAUAUCACAACUGAGGUUUCCUACUUUUCCACAUUAAGCAUAUUUGUCAAAAGUACCCAAGAGACCAUGGAUCUUGCAUGAUGAAUUAUGAACCAAUAUGUGGUCAAGAUGGUGUGACCUAUACCAAUAUCUGCUUUUUUUGCCGGUCAUAUUGGAAUGAAUAUCAAGGAAAAAUGGGUUUUAAGAAGUAUGGUCACUGCUUUCAAAAAGGUAAUGAGCCAUGGUUUUGAAAUUACUCUUUGAGCCAACCCAUUCCAUGAACUGACUGGAUCAAUACCUUCUCUUCAACUGGACUUGUUUGUUCAUUGAGGAUUGUAUGCUUAACAAAUUUCUUUAAAAUCAUAUUCAUAAGAAAUUUUUUCUGAUUAUUCUUUAUUUUCCAAACCCUAAGAUAUCAAGUCUUUUAAUUUUCUCUCCUGCCUGUCCAGACAUAUCUAAUUAAAAUUCUAUUUCUGCCCUAAAGCACAACUCAUAAGAGGUAAAAUUUUCUCCCUAUGGAGAUAAACUUAUGCAAAUACAAUGAGACAUGUGUGAUUUCCAAAAGAUAUGGG